AUACGGCCACAUCACGUUGAAAUGCCGGUUCUCAUACGACCACCGAAGUUAAGCAACGUCGAGCUUGGUUAUCACCUAGAUUGGUGACCGCUUGGGAAUACU